UCCAGGCAAAUCCGGAUAAUCAAGGCUGAGGUGUGAUGACGAGGCACUACGGUGCUGAAGUAACAAAUGCCCUGCUUCCAGGAAAAGCCUCUAAGCAUCAGGUAACAUUAAAUCGUACCCCAAACCGACACAGGUGGUCAGGUAGAGAAUACCAAGGCGCUUGAGAGAACUCGGGUGAAGGAACUAGGCAAAAUGGUGCCGUAACUUCGGGAGAAGGCACGCUGGUGUGUAGGUGAAGUCCCUGCGGAUGGAGCUGAGACCAGUCGAAGAUACCAGCUGGCUGCAACUGUUUAUUAAAAACACAGCACUGUGCAAACACGAAAGUGGACGUAUACGGUGUGACGCCUGCCCGGUGCCGGAAGGUUAAUUGAUGGGGUUAUCCGUAAGGAGAAGCUCUUGAUCGAAGCCCCGGUAAACGGCGGCCGUAACUAUAACGGUCCUAAGGUAGCGAAAUUCCUUGUCGGGUAAGUUCCGACCUGCACGAAUGGCGUAAUGAUGGCCAGGCUGUCUCCACCCGAGACUCAGUGAAAUUGAACUCGCUGUGAAGAUGCAGUGUACCCGCGGCAAGACGGAAAGACCCCGUGAACCUUUACUAUAGCUUGACACUGAACAUUGAGCCUUGAUGUGUAGGAUAGGUGGGAGGCUUUGAAGCGUGGACGCCAGUCUGCGUGGAGCCAACCUUGAAAUACCACCCUUUAAUGUUUGAUGUUCUAACGUUGGCCCCUUACCGGGGUUGCGGACAGUGUCUGGUGGGUAGUUUGACUGGGGCGGUCUCCUCCCAAAGCGUAACGGAGGAGCACGAAGGUUAGCUAAUCCUGGUCGGACAUCAGGAGGUUAGUGCAAUGGCAUAAGCUAGCUUGACUGCGAGCGUGACGGCGCGAGCAGGUGCGAAAGCAGGUCAUAGUGAUCCGGUGGUUCUGAAUGGAAGGGCCAUCGCUCAACGGAUAAAAGGUACUCCGGGGAUAACAGGCUGAUACCGCCCAAGAGUUCAUAUCGACGGCGGUGUUUGGCACCUCGAUGUCGGCUCAUCACAUCCUGGGGCUGAAGUAGGUCCCAAGGGUAUGGCUGUUCGCCAUUUAAAGUGGUACGCGAGCUGGGUUUAGAACGUCGUGAGACAGUUCGGUCCCUAUCUGCCGUGGGCGCUGGAGAAUUGAGGGGGGCUGCUCCUAGUACGAGAGGACCGGAGUGGACGCAUCACUGGUGUUCGGGUUGUCAUGCCAAUGGCACUGCCCGGUAGCUAAAUGCGGAAGAGAUAAGUGCUGAAAGCAUCUAAGCACGAAACUUGCCCCGAGAUGAGUUCUCCCUGAGACUUUAAGUCUCCUGAAGGAACGUUGAAGACGACGACGUUGAUAGGCCGGGUGUGUAAGCGCAGCGAUGCGUUGAGCUAACCGGUACUAAUGAACCGUGAGGCUUAACC
rnacentral:rRNA from 1 species